rnacentral:ribozyme from 11 species
UACAAAAAGAAACCCAGAAAAAAAAAAAAAAAAAAAAAAAAAUAUAGGAAAA